GAAAAAAGAAGGACAUCAGGCCAUUUCGAGAUAAUCUGUUUAUUUCGGCGUUUCUGACUGAAGAGAAAUCCGUGGCGCAAUGACCAAAUAUCUGCACGAAGCGCACCCCAAAGAGCUGAAUCAUUUUAAGUCGGUUAGCAGCUGUUCGGAUGCUCUGGCCGAGGCUCUGGUCCUUUUGUUUGGAAAUCCGAUAAAGGAUCUAAUGUGUUCUAACUCUGAUCAAUUUUAACACAGAUAACUAAUAAAUAAUGAAAUAAACAUGCUGAAACUGUA